CCUGCCCAAAGAGCCUUUCCACGUGUGGCUGCUGUGUCACACGUGAGUCAGUAGGUGGCAGAGAAGAGAGAGGCAAUGACUGUGCUCACUAUUCUGACCAGUGAACAUGAUUAGCAGCCUAACAUU
rnacentral:snoRNA from 1 species